AAGUUUAUAUAGUCGAACAGACUAAGCCCAACCUCUUCUGCAAGGUAAGGGUAACUUAAUUCAACAUCGAGGUCGUAAGCUACUUUACCCCAUUAGGUCUGAGGAAAGCAAAUUACG
rnacentral:rRNA from 2 species